GACUAUCAAAUGCCAUAAGUAACUGUCUUUUCCAUUCCUAUAAUGAAAUUAAUCGAUGAUAUCGGCCCAGAUAUCGAUAAAAAGUUUCACUUUUUAAAAGGAUUUUUCUUCAAAAGUUUUAUUCAAAAUGGAAAAUAAAAGUUCAAACUAGUUUCUAGAGUCGAUGGACUUUUUAAUUAAGACCAAAAAAUCCAAGUCUGAUCAAAUUUGGGAAUAUUUCUAUAUACUUCGAUUAUAUACCUUCUCUAUACAUGUGUGUCUGGGUGUCUCUUGUAUAUAAGGAGUUUGAGCAGUACUUCUAUGUUGUCAUGAGAGAUGACAACCCAAAAGGAAGAUUGAAUCAAAACACAAAAUAACCAAAAUUGUCCAACUGUGCGAGAUGGUAAAAAAGACAUAUCAAAAAUCAUUUCUUGCGUUUUAUGUAAAAAGAGGAAGACAAAAAAAAAAAAUAAUUCAGAAAAGAGAGGCAACAAAAUUGGGUGGCAAGUAUUGAAGAUAAAAAAGAAGGAAAACCAGGCGUAAUGGUGACGAUGGGAAAAUAAAUGGAAUUAGCCCAUCAAUUUAGCCAUAGAAUUUAAAGAAGUGGAUGGAAAUGGUGUAGCCACAAUAAGUGAAAACAAUGCCAAUAAAAAUUUACAAAAAAUAUGACCAAGCAUAUCAUUGUCGUUGGUGAAAAAAAAAGAAAAAAAUAAAAAUUGAUGACUGAAAGUGGCCACUACAAACCGGAUAAUUCAAAAGUCUUACGGCAUUGAAUUAGAUGGAAAAAAAGCCACUAGUUUCUUAUGUCUUUUCCAUGGUA